AAGAUCAUUAAAGAAGUAAUGCCAAAAGAAGGUGGUUUACAAGAUGGAGAGGAGUGAGUUGGCAAGUCCUUUUUUAAAAGAUGAGGAGGAUCAGAGUUGGCAACAGACAGCCUAUCCACAUGCUUUUCUUAACAUCUAAGGCUUACUUUGUGCUCCACCAUAUACUAAGAUUCCAUCAACAUCCUUCUCAUCAAGCCUCUCCAUCAGAGCUCUCAUCAGACAUCUCCAGGAGAGGUCUUUUUUCGUUUUUGACUCGAAGGAAGAUUUGAAAGAAUGGCUAGUGAAGCUCCGAGCUGGGCUGAUCAAUGGGGAGCCGGCGGUUUUGGGGCUAUAGACGACGACGGCGCCAACAAAGACGAAGGGAGCAAUCAGAAGAAGGCCGAGUCCAAGGGCGCAUUUACCAAGGCAAAAGUGGCAGCCACAGCCGGAGCACAGAAGAUCAAGAACGGGACAUCAAUGGCAUCAAAUGGAUCAAGAAUCAAUGUCAGAAAAAAGGCUCCUCUAAAUGAAGAACAAGAUGGUUGUUUCCACAUCAAUGAAGAGUGCAAAAACCAUUUGUCUUUCAGUAUAUAGCAGUUGCAUCAGCUUUAUAUCCUCUUGUAUGGUUUUUUUCAAUUUUCACUGUACUUGCAGCAUAUUCAUUGGUUGUAACAUAUGAUCUGUCUUUAAAGGAAACAGACCAGUCCAGUUAUCAUCAGUCCAAGACCUCUCUCUGUUUUUUUAAUUUUCACUGUACUUGCAGCAGCUUCAUUGGUUGUAACAUAUGGUUUGUCUUUAAAGGAAAUAGACCAGUCCAGUUUUCAUCA